CGAACUCUGGUAUUGAUUGGUGCUUGCAUCAUGAUUUACAUUUGAGUGAGUGGCGAACUGGUGAGUAACACGUGGGAAACCUGCCCAGAAGCGGGGGAUAACACCUGGAAACAGAUGCUAAUACCGCAUAACAACUUGGACCGCAUGGUCCGAGCUUGAAAGAUGGCUUCGGCUAUCACUUUUGGAUGGUCCCGCGGCGUAUUAGCUAGAUGGUGGGGUAACGGCUCACCAUGGCAAUGAUACGUAGCCGACCUGAGAGGGUAAUCGGCCACAUUGGGACUGAGACACGGCCCAAACUCCUACGGGAGGCAGCAGUAGGGAAUCUUCCACAAUGGACGAAAGUCUGAUGGAGCAACGCCGCGUGAGUGAAGAAGGGUUUCGGCUCGUAAAACUCUGUUGUUAAAGAAGAACAUAUCUGAGAGUAACUGUUCAGGUAUUGACGGUAUUUAACCAGAAAGCCACGGCUAACUACGUGCCAGCAGCCGCGGUAAUACGUAGGUGGCAAGCGUUGUCCGGAUUUAUUGGGCGUAAAGCGAGCGCAGGCGGUUUUUUAAGUCUGAUGUGAAAGCCUUCGGCUCAACCGAAGAAGUGCAUCGGAAACUGGGAAACUUGAGUGCAGAAGAGGACAGUGGAACUCCAUGUGUAGCGGUGAAAUGCGUAGAUAUAUGGAAGAACACCAGUGGCGAAGGCGGCUGUCUGGUCUGUAACUGACGCUGAGGCUCGAAAGUAUGGGUAGCAAACAGGAUUAGAUACCCUGGUAGUCCAUACCGUAAACGAUGAAUGCUAAGUGUUGGAGGGUUUCCGCCCUUCAGUGCUGCAGCUAACGCAUUAAGCA
rnacentral:rRNA from 2 species